rnacentral:rRNA from 1 species
GACGGUACAGGGUGAUAGUCCCGUACACCAAAAUGCACAGGCUGUGAACUCGAAGAGUAGGGCGGGACACGUGGUAUCCUGUCUGAAUAUGGGGGGACCAUCCUCCAAGGCUAAAUACUCCUGACUGACCGAUAGUGAACCAGUACCGUGAGGGAAAGGCGAAAAGAACCCCGGCGAGGGGAGUGAAAAAGAACCUGAAACCGUGUACGUACAAGCAGUGGGAGCACCUUCGGGUGUGACUGCGUACCUUUUGUAUAAUGGGUCAGCGACUUAUAUUCUGUAGCAAGGUUAACCGUAUAGGGGAGCCGCAGGGAAACCGAGUCUUAACUGGGCGUUAAGUUGCAGGGUAUAGACCCGAAACCCGGUGAUCUAGCCAUGGGCAGGUUGAAGGUUGGGUAACACUAACUGGAGGACCGAACCGACUAAUGUUGAAAAAUUAGCGGAUGACUUGUGGCUGGGGGUGAAAGGCCAAUCAAACCGGGAGAUAGCUGGUUCUCCCCGAAAGCUAUUUAGGUAGCGCCUCGUGAAUUCAUCUUCGGGGGUAGAGCACUGUUUCGGCUAGGGG